rnacentral:rRNA from 1 species
UACGUAGGGACCAAGCGUUGUUCGGAUUUACUGGGCGUAAAGGGCGCGUAGGCGGCAUGACAAGUCACUUGUGAAAUCUCCGGGCUUAACCCGGAACUGCCAAGUGAUACUGUCGCGCUAGAGUGCGGAAGGGGCAAUCGGAAUUCUCGGUGUAGCGGUGAAAUGCGUAGAUAUCGAGAGGAACACCUGAGGUGAAGACGGGUUGCUGGGCCGACACUGACGCUGAGGAGCGAAAGCGUGGGGAGCGAACAGG